GAUGAGGGGCCCCCGCAAUGGGGACCUGCAAACCUGGUCAGGGGAGAAAUCCAGCAGCCAUAAGCAGUCAGCCCUUUGUGCGGAGGGCCUCUCAUCCGU
rnacentral:SRP_RNA from 1 species